AACGAACGCUGGCGGCAUGCCUAACACAUGCAAGUCGAACGAGACCUUCGGGUCUAGUGGCGCACGGGUGCGUAACGCGUGGGAACCUGCCCUUAGGUUCGGAAUAACUCCCCGAAAGGGGUGCUAAUACCGGAUAAUGUCUUCGGACCAAAGAUUUAUCGCCUUUGGAUGGGCCCGGGUUGGAUUAGCCAGUUGGUAGGGGAAUAGCCUACCAAGGCGAGGAUGCAUAGCUGGUCGGAGAGGAUGACCAACCACGCUGGGGCUGAGACACGGCCCAGAAUCCUAGGGGAGGGAGCAGUGGGGAAUAUUGGGCGAUGGGCGAAAGUCUGAUACAGCAAUGCCGGGUGAGUGAUGAAGGGCUUAGGGUUGUAAAGCUCUUUUAGCCGGGAUGAUAAUGACAGUACCGGGAGAAUAAGCACCGGCUAACUCCGUG
rnacentral:rRNA from 1 species